GAUGAACGCUAGCUACAGGCUUAACACAUGCAAGUCGAGGGGCAGCAUUUUAGUUUGCUUGCAAACUGAAGAUGGCGACCGGCGCACGGGUGAGUAACACGUAUCCAACCUGCCGAUAACUCCGGGAUAGCCUUUCGAGAGAAAGAUUAAUACCGGAUAGUAUACGAAUAUCGCAUGAUAUUUUUAUUAAAGAAUUUCGGUUAUCGAUGGGGAUGCGUUCCAUUAGUUUGUUGGCGGGGUAACGGCCCACCAAGACUACGAUGGAUAGGGGUUCUGAGAGGAAGGUCCCCCACAUUGGAACUGAGACACGGUCCAAACUCCUACGGGAGGCAGCAGUGAGGAAUAUUGGUCAAUGGGCGCGAGCCUGAACCAGCCAAGUAGCGUGAAGGAUGAAGGCUCUAUGGGUCGUAAACUUCUUUUAUAUGGGAAUAAAGUUUUCCACGUGUGGAAUUUUGUAUGUACCAUAUGAAUAAGGAUCGGCUAGCUCCGUGCCAGCAGCCGCGGUAAUACGGAGGAUCCGAGCGUUAUCCGGAUUUAUUGGGUUUAAAGGGAGCGUAGGUGGAUUGUUAAGUCAGUUGUGAAAGUUUGCGGCUCAACCGUAAAAUUGCAGUUGAAACUGGCAGUCUUGAGUACAGUAGAGGUGGGCGGAAUUCGUGGUGUAGCGGUGAAAUGCUUAGAUAUCACGAAGAACUCCGAUUGCGAAGGCAGCUCACUAGACUGUCACUGACACUGAUGCUCGAAAGUGUGGGUAUCAAACAGGAUUAGAUACCCUGGUAGUCCACACAGUAAACGAUGAAUACUCGCUGUUUGCGAUAUACAGUAAGCGGCCAAGCGAAAGCAUUAAGUAUUCCACCUGGGGAGUACGCCGGCAACGGUGAAACUCAAAGGAAUUGACGGGGGCCCGCACAAGCGGAGGAACAUGUGGUUUAAUUCGAUGAUACGCGAGGAACCUUACCCGGGCUUAAAUUGCAACAGAAUAUAUUGGAAACAGUAUAGCCGUAAGGCUGUUGUGAAGGUGCUGCAUGGUUGUCGUCAGCUCGUGCCGUGAGGUGUCGGCUUAAGUGCCAUAACGAGCGCAACCCUUAUCUUUAGUUACUAACAGGUUAUGCUGAGGACUCUAGAGAGACUGCCGUCGUAAGAUGUGAGGAAGGUGGGGAUGACGUCAAAUCAGCACGGCCCUUACGUCCGGGGCUACACACGUGUUACAAUGGGGGGUACAGAAGGCGGCUACCUGGUGACAGGAUGCUAAUCCCAAAAACCUCUCUCAGUUCGGAUCGAAGUCUGCAACCCGACUUCGUGAAGCUGGAUUCGCUAGUAAUCGCGCAUCAGCCAUGGCGCGGUGAAUACGUUCCCGGGCCU
rnacentral:rRNA from 1 species